rnacentral:sRNA from 1 species
AGAAGCCAGAUGACUCUGCCUGCGCAGGAAUGAAGAGCGACCCGGCGCGGGAGGGAGGGAGGCCCCUGCGCUUUGGCUCCGGCCGCGCCUCCUCCCUGGGAUCCGGUCUAGGGCUGGCGAGCUCCGCGGGACCCUGCUCAGGGCGGGGCUGCUGCACCACCUGCCGCGGGUGGCCAAAGCAGAAAAAAAAAAAAAGAAAAAAUGGGAGUGGGGAAUACAAAUGUCUCAUUUUCUUUUAAAGAAUGGUGAAACUAACAGAGGAGAAUCUGAAAAAAAGAGAAACCUGGAUGAACUUUCACGGACAACCUCAGAGGACAAUGAAGUGUUUGGACUCACACCAUGCAGCAAGAACUGCUCACUACGGCUCCCUGCCCCAGAAGUCACACGGCCGGACCCAAGAUGAAAACCCCGUAGUCCACUUCUUCAAGAACAUUGUGACACCUCGCACACCACCCCCGUCGCAGGGAAAGGGGGCCGAAGGCCAGAGACCAGGAUUUGGCUACGGAGGCAGAGCGUCCGACUAUAAAUCGGCUCACAAGGGAUUCAAGGGAGUCGAUGCCCAGGGCACGC